rnacentral:rRNA from 1 species
ACAGCAGCAGCCACGGUAAUACGGAGGGGGCUAGCGUUGUUCGGAAUUACUGGGCGUAAAGCGCACGUAGGCGGCUUGGUAAGUUAGAGGUGAAAGCCCGGAGCUCAACUCCGGAAUUGCCUUUAAGACUGCCGAGCUAGUAGGUGAGAGAGGUAAGUGGAAUUCCGAGUGUAGAGGUGAAAUUCGUAGAUAUUCGCAAGAACACCAGUGGCGAAGGCGGCUCACUGGCCCAGUACUGACGCUGAGGCGCGAAAGCGUGGGGAGCAAACAGGAUUAGAGACCCCGGUAGUCCCUGUCUCUUAUAC